rnacentral:rRNA from 1 species
GAUGAACGCUGGCGGCGUGCCUAAUACAUGCAAGUUGAGCGCUGAAAGUUUGUACUUGUACCAACUGGAUUAGCAGCGAACGGGUGAGUAACGCGUGGAUAAUCUUCCUUUUAUCCGUGGACAACAUUUUGAAACGAAUUCUAAUACCGCAUAAUAACUUUAACCACAAGUUUUAAGUUUUAAAGAUGCAUUUGCCUCACUCAAAGAUGAUCCCGCGUUUUAUUAGCUAGUUGGUUAGGUAAAGGCUCACCCAGGCGAUGAUACAUAGCCGACCUUAGAGGGUGAUCGGGCACAUCGGGAAUUAGAAAAGGCUCAAACCCCUAAGGGAAGGAGCAGGAGGGGAUUAUAGGCAAUGGACGAAAGGCUGAACGAGCAAAGCCGGGGGAGUGGAGGAGGUUUUCCGAUCGGAAAACUCUGUUUGUAGAGAAGAACGAUGGGGAGAGUGGAAAGCUCAUGAAGUGACGGUAACUAACCAGAAAGCAACGGCUAACUACGUG